UGGGGAAUAUUGGACAAUGGGCGAAAGCCUGAUCCAUGCCAUGCCGCGUGUGUGAAGAAGGUCUUCGGAUUAUAAAGCACUUUAAG
rnacentral:rRNA from 1 species